CGAAUCAAAAGGUCUGAACAAUGAUUGCUUUUUAUCGCGAUUGGUACAUGCGAACAAUAGGUAAACUCGUAGGGUCCUCAGGGCGGAUCUAACCUGAGCUCUUUGUUCUGCAGCCGUGGCUUGCUGCCCCCAGCGGGCAGUGAGUCAGUGGGUUCCCAAGGCCAAGGAGAGGCCCAGCCCUGGCCCCCCCAGGAUGGCAGGCCCACCCAGGGGAGUGUGAGGCCCUUCUGGGCUGACCUCAAAGACCUCUCUCCCCCCAGGAUUUAUGUAGCCUUCUGGAGGAAUGAGCAUCUUCAUGUGGAAUUACCCUGGCCUGGAGGCAGGCGCAGUGACCUCGGCUCCCGUGUUGCCUAGAUCCAGCCUCCCCUAGCUGAAAACCGCCUCCUGUUCCCCUGGGCCAAGGGGCAGCUUUAGAGGACUGCCUGAGUGCUCCACGGCGCUGGGACUGUUGUGAAGCUCAGAUGGGACAUUGUAUGCGAAGACAUGCUGCGGACACUACGCGCCAGCGCUGGAGGUACAGGUAACGGUCCGAGGAAACUUGAA